ensembl:lncRNA
CAGAAGGAGCGAUGCUAAAGUUUUCCGUCUCCGUUGUUGACUGUGUUUGUUUUGUAACUCUAGUAGCUACGGAGAGCAUUUUACUUCUUAAAGUUAAGUUUAGUUAGUUUCUGAAUAAAGCAGCAGCCUGUUAAAAAGACGUUCAGUUUAAAGAUCACCUGUCAGAGUUUCGUUCUUGCGAUGUCCAUCUUGUCCUGGAUUUUUAAGGGAAGCCACGCCUCCAGAGCAGCUCUUUUUAUGAUUGGAUAAUAGAUGUGGCCAGUUUAAGCUGGAAAGACAAGCCCUCUUCCCUAUUUAUAAGAGUGUCCUGGGGGAGAAAAUGGUUUGUUCAGAAGGUAAAAGUGUGGUACAGGUAACUGUGUGAUGCAGGUUGUGAAAAUUUAUAUAAUUUGUCCUUCUUUUCUUUGUUUUGGAGAUAAGCUGUUUGUGUAAAAAGUACAAAUGAACAGUUUCCAAAGAAUGAUAUUUGUCCUCCACAUGCCUUGCAAAGCUACCUGCAACAGACUUGGCAGCAGAAUUCAGAAGAGGUCGUUCAACAGGAAUAAAACCCUUUACAGACACUGAGGAUGGAAAUGCUGAAGGAAAAGUGGAGUUUGAGCCAAAAGUGGUUAGAGAUCUGAAAGCCGACAUCUGUCUGAACGAGAUAUUUUUGAAGCGAUGGGAAUGUUUAUGCACCAGAAUAAACACAGAAGUGAUACUUUCUCAACAGAUUAAACACCUAAGAACAGCUCUCUGCCUGUGGAUCUGCUGCCUGUGGAUCUUCAGCCUGUGGAGCUUCAGCCUGUGGAUCUGCUGCCUGUGGAGCUUCAGCCUGUGGAGCUUCAGCCUGUGGAGCUUCAGCCUGUGGAGCUUCAGCCGUGUGCUUCUGGGCUUUUCAGUUGUGGUUUGUUGUGCACUUUUUGGAUUGGUUGGCUACAAUAAACUAACUUUUAGACACCACACUGCGUUUGUCUCCCUGCUUUGUUGCAGGCUAUGAGCCAAGCUGUAACAAAAAGGAGAUUUAAAUUUAAUUUUAAUAGUUUUAUCUGAGAUUCAAUCUGGUCAUCAGGGGGUGGGACAAGAGAGAAAUGGCAUUUUAGGGGAACUCUAGACCUAUUUGGUAUUUUAAAAAAUAUUUUCAAACAUUAUUUUCUCCUAGUUUUUUUUAGAUUUGGUCUCAGGACAAGUCAAUUUACACAACAACUGCAUAUUUUAGUAAUUUGUUCAUGGUCUAUUUGAAAUUUCAUGGGUGGGACGUAAAAUGCCCUCCAAUUCUGGAAUGACCCGUUUAGUUUUUUGAGCUUCUUUGUGUUUGUUUCUGACUUCAGUUUAUGAAAUGCUUUGGUUAACCCUUACCUCACCUGUUCAUGACCUGCAUACCUUUACGAGUCUGUAAAUUCAUUACGCCUCAUCUGUAUGCAAAAUGUAAACAUAACCUUAUAUCUUUAUUGCAGUUUUGUAUUUUUUGACUUGCUUUCCCCAUUCUGUGUUUGCAUUUAGCUGCUGUAACAUGUAAAUUUCCCCAGUGAGGGAACAAUGAAGUUUAUUUUGUCUUAACAGCCAAGGUACAGAUGCAGGUGUUGCACAACUGUGAUGAAUGCAAAUGUUACUGUUUC